ensembl:snRNA U1 U1 spliceosomal RNA
AUACUUAGCCAGCAGGGGAGAUGCCAUGAUCAUGAAGGUGGUUUUCCCAGGGCAAGGCUUAGCCAUUGCAUUCCAGAUGUACUGACCCCAGCAACUGCCCCAAAUGCAGGGAGACUCAGCUGCAUAAUUUGGUAGUGGGGUCUGCAUUUGUACUCUCCUCUG